rnacentral:rRNA from 1 species
CUUUACAACUUUUGGCAAUGGAUGUCUUGGGUCCCACAACGAUGAAGAACGCAGCGAAAUGCGAUACGUAAUGCGAAUUGCAGGACCUCGUGAAUCAUCAAAAUUUUGAACGCACAUUGCGCUUCUGGGUUAUUCCCAGGAGCAUACUUAUCUGAGUGUCCCGAAA